UACGAAGGGGGCGAGCGUUGUUCGGAAUUACUGGGCGUAAAGGGCGCGCAGGCGGCUCUGAAAGUCAGAUGUGAAAGCCCCGGGCUUAACCUGGGAAUUGCAUUUGAUACUCUGGAGCUUGAGUACGGGAGAGGAGAGUGGAAUUCCCAGUGUAGAGGUGAAAUUCGUAGAUAUUGGGAAGAACACCGGUGGCGAAGGCGGCUCUCUGGACCGUAACUGACGCUGAGGCGCGGAAAGCGUGGGGAGCAAACAGG
rnacentral:rRNA from 1 species